rnacentral:rRNA from 1 species
GACGAACGCUGGCGGCGUGCUUAACACAUGCAAGUCGAACGGAAAGGCCCUGCUUGCAGGGUACUCGAGUGGCGAACGGGUGAGUAACACGUGGGUGAUCUGCCCUGCACUUCGGGAUAAGCCUGGGAAACUGGGUCUAAUACCGGAUAGGAGCCAUUUUUAGUGUGAUGGUUGGAAAGUUUUUUCGGUGUAGGAUGAGCUCGCGGCCUAUCAGCUUGGUGGUGGGGUAAUGGCCUACCAAGGCGGCGACGGGUAGCCGGCCUGAGAGGGUGGACGGCCACAAUGGGACUGAGAUACGGCCCAGACGCCUACGGGAGGCAGCAGUGGGGAAUAUUGCACAAUGGGCGCAAGCCUGAUGCAGCGACGCCGCGUGGGGGAUGACGGCCUUCGGGUUGUAAACUCCUUUCGCUAGGGACGAAGCUUUUUGUGACGGUACCUAGAUAAGAAGCACCGGCUAACUACGUG